AAGGAAUAUUGGGCAAUGGACGCAAGUCUGACCCAGCCAUGCCGCGUGAAGGAUGACGGCCCUAUGGGUUGUAAACUUCUUUUGUACGGGAAAAAACCUUCGAACGUGUUCGAAGCUGAUGGUACCGUAAGAAUAAGCAUCGGCUAACUCCGUGCCAGCAGCCGCGGUAAUACGGAGGAUGCAAGCGUUAUCCGGAUUCAUUGGGUUUAAAGGGUGCGUAGGCGGGAUAAUAAGUCAGUGGUGAAAGCCUACAGCUUAACUGUAGAACUGCCAUUGAUACUGUUAACCUUGAGUACAAUUGAAGUGGGCGGAAUGUGUCAUGUAGCGGUGAAAUGCUUAGAUAUGACACAGAACACCGAUAGCGAAGGCAGCUCACUAAACUGUAACUGACGCUGAGGCACGAAAGCGUGGGGAUCAAAC
rnacentral:rRNA from 1 species